rnacentral:misc_RNA from 1 species
CCGAGUUUUACAACCCCCAAAACCCCAUGUGAACCAUACCGUACGUUUGCCUCGGCGGCCACGCCCCGGUGCCCACUGCGGCCCGGACCCAGGCGCCCGCCGGAGGACCAAACCAAACCAUUGUGUACCGUAGUGGCCUCUCUGAGUGGCGUAAAGCAAAAUAAAUCA